UACUGCUUUGACCACCACUACGUGGAC
rnacentral:piRNA from 1 species